CGCAUGCACACACUCGUGGGACAACACUGAGGGUUGUUACUCUGUGCAAAAGCACUUGUAAGGAACUCCUGCAAGUUUCCCCUCGUGGGUUCCACCCUCGUUCUGUCACAAUACAAGCUCAGCGCUGGCAUGUCACGACGGCCUGCGCGUGAGGAGGUGCGGGUGGGGAGACGGGGGGCGGAUACGUACGCGGACGGUGAUCCUCCGAAGCCGGCGAGGGUGGAGCUGCGGGACGAGCUGCAGUAAGGGGUGCAGCACAGACGACUGUCAGCGUGAACACAAGAAGAACCGUGAAGUCAAAGGUUUCCCGACACCACAGCGGCACCGGCGUGACAGGUGCACAGAAACACUCGCACAGCUGUAGCUACCCAUGUAAAUGUGAAGAAGUGUCGCCUGCUGCACGUCUGCUCGAGAAGCUCCCUCGCACCGUCACUGCGAGACCGUGGGCUUGUGUUCUGCUCGCAGCGCCACACGCUGCGCAGGACAUGACUGUAUGGAAGAGGGUCCCGAACAGCAACAGAACACAUGGCUCAUUGCGCAGCCCCUCUGCCUCUUUUUCUGCCUUUCCCGGCUAAAGGCGCAGGUGUGUAACGACCGUCUGAAAAGAGCAGCACCUGAGGACCCCCGGCAGCUCCGCUCCCGGUGUCCCCCCCGCGUGUCCCCGCAGACCCUGAGGGCCCGAAGCAAAUACACGCUCCGCCGCCCGCAAAAAUCCAAAGAGGGCCUCGUGACGGAGCAGAGCAAUUACAGACGAGGUAAUGAAAGGGUCGGGAAGGAGUCCUUCUGCGCGACAGGCUCUUAGAGCCGCCUUUACCGUGAAUAACGCACCACGUUCCCUUGAAAGACGAGGUAAAGGGUCCCUUUCAAGUUGCCACAGCGACGGCGCACGUUACCCGCUGGACCUGAGCUCGAACCCAUAAACACGGUGAAAGCGUGGGAGAGCGCAGCGAGCCGCGGCGCAGCUCUGUAAAGCACCACAGGGUCCGUGCGUGAGGCCACACGCGCCAACGGAGCGCCGGUCCUCGCGUCACUUCACCCGUGUUUCAUAUGUGUCGCUGGUUUCUUUUUUCCUUCCCUUCGCUUUCGCACGACUCUACGAAUCUUAUUACGCAUAAACAAAGUGUUGUGUUGUAGCCGCA
rnacentral:lncRNA from 1 species